rnacentral:rRNA from 1 species
AACGAACGCUGGCGGCAGGCCUAACACAUGCAAGUCGAGCGAGGACUUCGGUCCUAGCGGCGGACGGGUGAGUAACGCGUGGGAACGUGCCCUUUGCUUCGGAAUAGCCCUGGGAAACUGUGAGUAAUACCGGAUGAGCCCUUUGGGGGAAAGAUUUAUCGGCGAAGGAUCGGCCCGCGUUGGAUUAGGUAGUUGGUGGGGUAAUGGCCUACCAAGCCGACGAUCCAUAGCUGGUUUGAGAGGAUGAUCAGCCACACUGGGACUGAGACACGGCCCAGACUCCUACGGGAGGCAGCAGUGGGGAAUCUUAGACAAUGGGGGAAACCCUGAUCUAGCCAUGCCGCGUGAGCGAUGAAGGCCUUAGGGUUGUAAAGCUCUUUCAGCUGGGAAGAUAAUGACGGUACCAGCAGAAGAAGCCCCGGCUAACUCCGUG